AUUGAACGCUGGCGGCAGGCCUAACACAUGCAAGUCGAGCGGAGCGGCGGACGGGUGAGUAAUGCCUAGGAAUCUGCCUGUUAGUGGGGGAUAACGUCCGGAAACGGGCGCUAAUACCGCAUACUAUCAGAUGAGCCUAGGUGGGAUUAGCUAGUGGGUGGGUUAAAGGCUGACCAAGGCGACGACCCCUAACUGGUCUGCGAGGAUGAUCAGCCACACUGGAACUGAGACACGGCCCAGACUCCUACGGGAGGCAGCAGUGGGGAAUAUUGGACAAUGGGCGAAAGCCUGAUCCAGCCAUGCCGCGUGUGUGAAGAAGGUCUUCGGAUUGUAAAGUACUUUAAGUUGGGAGGCGUUACCAACAGAAUAAGCACCGGCUAACUCCGUGCCAGCAGCCGCGGUAAUAC
rnacentral:rRNA from 1 species